AAAUAGGUUUUCGUGAAAACCACACAUAGAUAAAAAAGGUAAGAGU
rfam:Triticum aestivum genome assembly, contig: Triticum_aestivum_CS42_TGACv1_scaffold_129935_2BL